rnacentral:rRNA from 1 species
UACGGGGGGGGGCAAGCGUUUGUUCGGAAUUACUGGGCGUAAAGGGCUCGUAGGCGGCCAACUAAGUCAGACGUGAAAUCCCUCGGCUUAACCGGGGAACUGCGUCUGAUACUGGAUGGCUUGAGUUUGGGAGAGGGAUGCGGAAUUCCAGGUGUAGCGGUGAAAUGCGUAGAUAUCUGGAGGAACACUGGUGGCGAAGGCGGCAUCCUGGACCAACACUGACGCUGAGGAGCGAAAGCCAAGGGGAGCAAACGGG